AUUGAACGCUGGCGGAAUGCUUUACACAUGCAAGUCGAACGGCAGCACGGGGGCAACCCUGGUGGCGAGUGGCGAACGGGUGAGUAAUACAUCGGAACGUGCCCAGUCGUGGGGGAUAACGUAGCGAAAGUUACGCUAAUACCGCAUACGAUCUACGGAUGAAAGCGGGGGACCGUAAGGCCUCGCGCGAUUGGAGCGGCCGAUGGCAGAUUAGGUAGUUGGUGAGGUAAAGGCUCACCAAGCCGACGAUCUGUAGCUGGUCUGAGAGGACGACCAGCCACACUGGGACUGAGACACGGCCCAGACGCCGACGGGAGGCAGCAGUGGGGAAUUUUGGACAAUGGGCGCAAGCCUGAUCCAGCCAUUCCGCGUGCAGGGCGAAGGCCUUCGGGUUGUAAACUGCUUUCGUACGGAACGAAAAGGCUCUGGUUAAUACCUGGGGCUCAUGACGGUACCGUAAGAAUAAGCACCGGCUAACUACGUGCCAGCCGCCGCCGUAA
rnacentral:rRNA from 1 species